rnacentral:lncRNA from 1 species
GAUACAUCACUUUUGGGACUGUCCACUUGCUCAAGCGGUUAUCAAGAGGUCAUUAAUCAAAUUGUUGCAUGCGAUUGGGACAUCCAAUAUCCCGAGCCGAAACCUGGCUAAAUCGGCCUCCGACGGGAAUACAGCAAUGUGUUCGGGAAGUCCUGGCGCCAGUCAGUGCGAUGGAGACGGGGCAUCGGUUCGCACAAGUUACAGCACACCGACAGGAAAUCCCACCUCAGGCCGCCCAAAUCAUGGACCGGGCCAUCCACAGAAUGAUUGUUCAUUUCUGGUGCGGUGUGGAACACAGUUGGACCUUACCACCCUUUUUACGGGUAGCAGAGGAUAAUUUGCUUUGCGUGGAUCCGCACACAGGCGAAGGCAAUCAGUAAUUCCACCCCUGGGUGACUCUUCAGAUACAGCUUGGUAGGAAGGCGGUCCCGUGUGUAUUUGGCCGCAUUUCUUCAAAUCGAGGCAAGAAUACUAUGCCGGCAUGGGUUUGUCAUUUAUAGGGAGCCAUAUUGGCAAAAUCCCCUCUUUGCAACAGUGCUAGUCCGGUCUUCGAGCUUGCUGAGGUGUUGUGCGUGCCGGUACGGACCAUUUGUUCUUCCUUCCUAGGCCUGUGUCUGUUGCAGUGACAGGUGAUGUGCCCUUUGGCUCGGUUUCUUUGCAUUACGGUUUAGAAACUUGGUAGGCCGCUGUAAUGAUAACAAAGGUAAGGACGGGAAUUUCCAGGAUAGGCAUGUACUUGCUAAGAGGAAAGAGCAAGCGCAUAUUCAAGGUGAUAAUGUUCAUUCCAAAGUGCGGUUGCAUGACUGAGACACUUUCCGUCCCGAAGGCCCGACAGCAUUAUACGUAAGCCUAAA